AAACUAACAAGGAUUCCCCUAGUAGCGGCGAGCGAAGCGGGAAGAGCUCAAAUUUAUAAUCUGGCACUUUCAGUGUCCGAGUUGUAAUCUCUAGAAGUGUUUUCCGCGUUGGACCGCACACAAGUCUGUUGGAAUACAGCGGCACAGUGGUGACACCCCCGUACACGGUGCGGACGCCCAGCGCUUUGUGAUACACUUUCGAAGAGUCGAGUUGUUUGGGAAUGCAGCUCAAAUUGGGUGGUAAAUUCCAUCUAAAGCUAAAUAUUGGCGAGAGACCGAUAGCGAACAAGUACCGUGAGGGAAAGAUGAAAAGCACUUUGGAAAGAGAGUUAACAGUACGUGAAAUUGUUGGAAGGGAAACGCUUGAAGUCAGACUUGCUUGCCGGAGCUUGCUUCGGUUUGCAGGCCAGCAUCAGUUUUCCGGGGUGGAUAAUGGCGGUUAGAAGGUAGCAGCUUCAGCUGUGUUAUAGCUUUCCGCUGGAUACAUCCUGGGGGACUGAGGAACGCAGCGUGCUUUUAGCGGGGGUUUCGACCUCUUCACGCUUAGGAUGCUGGUGUAAUGGCUUUAAACGACCCGUCUUGA
rnacentral:rRNA from 1 species